rnacentral:miRNA from 1 species
UGCUGAGGAUUGCGAACACAUGUG